AGCUAAUGAGCUUGAACAUAAAGCAUGUGUUUUGAAACCACAAGAUAAAGGAAUUCUUUAUUGGCUU
rnacentral:tRNA from 1 species